rnacentral:rRNA from 1 species
AUUGAACGCUGGCGGCAGGCCUAACACAUGCAAGUCGAGCGGUAACACAGGGAGCUUGCUCCCGGGUGACGAGCGGCGGACGGGUGAGUAAUGUCUGGGAAACUGCCUGAUGGAGGGGGAUAACUACUGGAAACGGUAGCUAAUACCGCAUAAUGUCGCAAGACCAAAGAGGGGGACCUUCGGGCCUCUUGCCAUCAGAUGUGCCCAGAUGGGAUUAGCUAGUAGGUGGGGUAACGGCUCACCUAGGCGACGAUCCCUAGCUGGUCUGAGAGGAUGACCAGCCACACUGGAACUGAGACACGGUCCAGACUCCUACGGGAGGCAGCAGUGGGGAAUAUUGCACAAUGGGCGCAAGCCUGAUGCAGCCAUGCCGCGUGUAUGAAGAAGGCCUUCGGGUUGUAAAGUACUUUCAGCGGGGAGGAAGGUGUUGAGGUUAAUAACCUCAGCAAUUGACGUUACCCGCAGAAGAAGCACCGGCUAACUCCGUGCCAGCAGCCGCCGUAA